UCUACCUAUGCCAUUAAGAUUUUAUUUUCAUCAUUAUUAUUUAAAUUUUUGAAUUAUUUUUUGCGUUGAUUGUUGACAGCAAAGUAGCAAAAAUGAUAAAAGAAACUAUUGUAGUUUUGGUAACAUUAUGUUUUAUGGUAUAUUGUUCAGAAAAAAUUCCAAUGAAAGAAAUCACAGGUGCGUUUAAAGAAAUGGAUGUUAAUGGUGACGGGAAGGUGACUCUACAAGAGACUACAUCUUACAUGGAGAAGAAGAAACAAAUACCAGAGUCGGAUCACAAAAAUAUGGCAGAAUCUAUUUUUACCUUUUACGACAAAAACAAAGAUGGUCAUAUAGUUUUGUCCGAAUUUUUGCCACAUGAUGAAUUGUAAUAUUGAAACGUCACAAAGCUGGAACCGCAUUUAAAGCAUGAGUGCGUGUAUUUGGAAAACUGAACUCGAAAGACAUGCGCACUUUACAGAUUAUAUCCAACAUUGACAGCUUGACAUUAAAAGGAUGUUCUUUUCA